rnacentral:rRNA from 1 species
CCCUUAGACGUUCUGGGCCGCACGCGCGCUACACUGACGAAGGCAACGAGCUUUCCUUUACCGAAAGGUACGGGUAAUCUUUUGAAACUUCGUCGUGCUGGGGAUAGAUCCUUGCAAUUUUUGAUCUUAAACGAGGAAUGCCUAGUAAGCGCAAGUCAUCAACUUGCGUUGAUUACGUCCCUGCCCUUUGUACACACCGCCCGUCGCACCUACCGAUUGGAUGGUCCGGUGAAGCCUCGGGAUUGUGGUUCUUGCCGCUUUAUUGUGGCGUGACCGCGAGAACUUGUCUAAACCUUAUCAUCUAGAGGAAGGUGAAGUCGUAACA